UGAGCAAUCUGCCCUUCUCUUCGGAAUAAGCGUUGGAAACGACGUCUAAUGCCGAAUACGACCUCCUUUCGCAUGAUCGGAGGUGGAAAGCUCCGGCGGAGAAGGAUGAGCUCGCGGCCUAUCAGCUAGUUGGUGUGGGUAAUGGCCCACCAAGGCGACGACGGGUAGCCGGCCUGAGAGGGUGACCGGCCACACGUGGGACUGAGACACGGCCCAGGCCUCCGUACGGGGAGGNACGCG
rnacentral:rRNA from 1 species